UACGGAGGGGGCAAGCGUUACUCGGAAUUAUUGGGCGUAAAGGGCGCGUAGGCGGUCGUGCGCGUCGGAGGUGAAAUCCCCGGGCUUAACCCGGGAGCUGCCUCCGAUACGGCAUGGCUUGAGUCCGGGAGAGGGGAGCAGAAUUCCCAGUGUAGCGGUGAAAUGCGUAGAUAUUGGGAGGAAUACCAGUGGCGAAGGCGGCUCCCUGGACCGGUACUGACGCUGAGGCGCGAAAGCGUGGGUAGCAAACGGG
rnacentral:rRNA from 1 species